CCUACGGGAGGCAGCAGUGAGGAAUAUUGGUCAAUGGACGAGAGUCUGAACCAGCCAAGUAGCGUGAAGGAUGACUGCCCUAUGGGUUGUAAACUUCUUUUAUAUGGGAAUAAAAUGUUCCACGUGUGGGAUUUUGUAUGUACCAUAUGAAUAAGGAUCGGCUAACUCCGUGCCAGCAGCCGCGGUAAUACGGAGGAUCCGAGCGUUAUCCGGCUUUAUUUGGUUUAAAGGGAGCGUAGGUGGAUUGUUAAGUCAGUUGUGAAAGUUUGCGGCUCAACCGUAAAAUUGCAGUUGAAACUGGCAGUCUUGAGUACAGUAGAGGUGGGCGGAAUUCGUGGUGUAGCGGUGAAAUGCUUAGAUAUCACGAAGAACUCCGAUUGCGAAGGCAGCUCACUGGACUGCAACUGACACUGAGGCUCGAAAGUGUGGGUAUCAAACAGGAUUAGAUACCCUAGUAGUC
rnacentral:rRNA from 1 species